GAAUGUGUUUCGUCCAUACUAUAUAUUUUUCAUAGGACUACUUCUACUGACGUUUGAACACACCAUCGUACUGGCGCUCAAAGGACGGAGGUUAAACCCAGUGACGGAAGCAACAUAUUUUUAUCCUCCGCCAGGCAUGCAAGGAGUGAGGCAUCGAGGAGCAGGCAGAGAUGGUUCAUUCCUUUCGAGAAUAUUUAAAAGGUAAUAUGAACACGGCCCCAUCACCUGAAACCGAAGAACUGACACUAAGAUGAAAAGCUUGUUGGCACAUGGACCACGGGACAGUUCACUUGGCAAGACGCGCAUCAUUUCAUUUAACGGCAUCGAUGCAACAGCCGCGAGACUUCAACAAAAGCACACGCAAUAGCGACUGCAGUAAUAUGAAGGGUUUUGUGCUUGGUUGUAGUUUUCUUUGGUUUUAGUGGCAUAUAAGCAGCAAACGUAACCAAACACCAAACACAUGGCGUUUU